UCCGCAAUGGGCGAAAGCCUGACGGAGCAAUACCGCGUGAGGGAGGAAGGCUCUUGGGUCGUAAACCUCUUUUCUCAGGGAAGAAAAAAAUGACGGUACCUGAGGAAUAAGCAUCGGCUAACUCCGUGCCAGCAGCCGCGGUAAUACGGAGGAUGCAAGCGUUAUCCGGAAUGAUUGGGCGUAAAGCGUCCGCAGGUGGCUAUGUAAGUCUGCUGUUAAAGAGUCUAGCUCAACUAGAUAAAAGCAGUGGAAACUACAUGGCUAGAGUGCGUUCGGGGCAGAGGGAAUUCCUGGUGUAGCGGUGAAAUGCGUAGAGAUCAGGAAGAACACCGGUGGCGAAAGCGCUCUGCUAGGCCGCAACUGACACUGAGGGACGAAAGCUAGGGGAGCGAAUGGGAUUAGAUACCCCAGUAGUCCUAGCCGUAAACGAUGGAUACUAGGCGUGGCUUGUAUCGACCCGAGCCGUGCCGUAACUAACGCGUUAAGUAUCCCGCCUGGGGAGUACGCACGCAAGUGUGAAACUCAAAGGAAUUGACGGGG
rnacentral:rRNA from 1 species